rnacentral:rRNA from 1 species
CCUACGGGAGGCAGCAGUGAGGAAUAUUGGUCAAUGGGCGAGAGCCUGAACCAGCCAAGUCGCGUGAGGGAGUACUGCCCUAUGGGUUGUAAACCUCUUUUGUCGGGGAGCAAAAGCCGGACGUGUCCGGCUGUGAGAGUACCCGAAGAAAAAGCAUCGGCUAACUCCGUGCCAGCAGCCGCGGUAAUACGGAGGAUGCGAGCGUUAUCCGGAUUUAUUGGGUUUAAAGGGUGCGCAGGCGGAUUUUUAAGUUAGCGGUAAAAUCGUGGGGCUCAACCCCAUCCAGCCGUUGAAACUGGGGAUCUAGAGUGUGCGAGAGGUAUGCGGAAUGCGUGGUGUAGCGGUGAAAUGCAUAGAUAUCACGCAGAACCCCGAUUGCGAAGGCAGCAUACCGGUGCACAACUGACGCUCAGGCACGAAAGCGUGGGUAUCGAACAGGAUUAGAUACCCCUGUAGUC